GAUGAACGCUGGCGGCGUGCCUAAUACAUGCAAGUCGAGCGAACAGACGAGGAGCUUGCUUCUCUGACGUUAGCGGCGGACGGGUGAGUAACACGUGGAUAACCUACCUAUAAGACUGGGAUAACUUCGGGAAACCGGAGCUAAUACCGGAUAAUAUAUUGAACCGCAUGGUUCAAUAGUGAAAGACGGUUUUGCUGUCACUUAUAGAUGGAUCCGCGCCGCAUUAGCUAGUUGGUAGGGUAACGGCUUACCAAGGCAACGAUGCGUAGCCGACCUGAGAGGGUGAUCGGCCACACUGGAACUGAGACACGGUCCAGACUCCUACGGGAGGCAGCAGUAGGGAAUCUUCCGCAAUGGGCGAAAGCCUGACGGAGCAACGCCGCGUGAGUGAUGAAGGUCUUCGGAUCGUAAAACUCUGUUAUUAGGGAAGAACAAAUGCGUAAGUAACUAUGCACGUCUUGACGGUACCUAAUCAGAAAGCCACGGCUAACUACGUG
rnacentral:rRNA from 1 species